rnacentral:rRNA from 1 species
AACGUAGGUGGCGAGCGUUAUCCGGAUUCAUUGGGCGUAAAGAGCUUGUAGGUGGCGGCGUAAGUUGGACGUGAAAUCGCCCGGCUCAACCGGGCGGGGUCGUGCGAUACGGCGGGGCUCGAGGCCGGUAGGGGGACGCGGAAUUCCCGGUGUAGUGGUGGAAUGCGUAGAUAUCGGGAGGAACACCAGUGGCGCAGGCGGCGUCCUGGACCGGCACUGACGCUGAGGAGCGAAAGCGCGGGGAGCGAUCCGG